rnacentral:pre_miRNA from 10 species
UGCGCGUGUGUGUGUGUGUGUGUGUGUGUGUGUGUCCUCGCAUGCGGUCGCUUGGGCACGC